UACGUAGGGUGCGAGCGUUAAUCGGAAUUACUGGGCGUAAAGCGUGCGCAGGCGGUUGUGUAAGACAGAUGUGAAAUCUCCGGGCUUAACCUGGGAACUGCGUUUGUGACUGCACGACUUGAGUACGGCAGAGGGGGUGGAUCACGCGUAGCAGUGAAAUAGCGUAGAGAUGUGGAGGAACACCGAUGGCGAAGGCAGCCCCUCGGGCGUAGUACUGACGCUCAUGCACGAAAGCGU
rnacentral:rRNA from 1 species